GAUGAAGAACGCAGCGAAAUGCGAUAAGUAGUGUGAAUUGCAGAAUUCAGUGAAUCAUCGAAUCUUUGAACGCACAUUGCGCCCUUUGGUAUUCCUUAGGGCAUGCCUGUUCGAGCGUCAUUUAAACCUUCAAGCUCAGCUUGGUGAUGGGCGACUGUCCCCCCCCCUCGCGGGGGGGACUCGCCUCAAAAACAUUGGCGGCCGGUACAUUGGCUUCGAGCGCAGCAGAAACGCGGUCUCGAGCCCGGUGGAUCGGCUCCCAUAAGCCUAUUCUUUUAUUUUGACCUCGGAUCAGGUAGGGAUACCCGCUGAACUUAAGCAUAUCAAUAAGCGAGGA
rnacentral:misc_RNA from 1 species